rnacentral:rRNA from 1 species
GACAUGAGUGGUGAGCGUUAUUCGUAGUUAUUGAGUGUAAAAGAUGCGCGGACGAAAAGUAGGAUUUUAAAAAACUAAGUUGGAUGCAAACAGGCUUUUUUAUUAUACCAACUUUUUAGUGGUAAAGUAAACAAUGUAAUUCUUACUUACUAGCGAUGAAAUGCGUAGAGCAAGUAGGGAUGACCAAGUAUGAAAAUAACAUUGUUAUUUUGCCGGACGUUUAGGCAUGAAAGCAGAAGAAUCGACGAGGAUUAGUGACCCUAUUAGUUUCUGCUGUAAAAGAUGAAUAUUAGGUUAUUCUUUUUUCAAGGGAAUAGUCUUAGCUAACGCGUUAAAUAUUCUACUUGGGUAGUACAAUUGCAAAAUUGAAACUUAACAGAAUUGGCGGGAAUUUGUAUAACAGUGGAAUAUGUGGUUUAAUGCGAUAAUCCACGCAAAAUCUUACUAACAUUAAAARCCAUUUGUAAAACAUGUAGUGAUGUUUUUUUGAUAAUGUGGUUUUAGUGGUCCUGCAUGGCUGUCGUCCAUUCGUGUUGUAAAAUGUAAAAUUAAGUUUUUAAACGAAUGCAACCCAAGAUUAUAAUUUAAAUUUGUGUAUUAAUAAAUUGUUUAUUUAUACAUUUUUUUUUAUAAUAACCACCUAACUAAUGAUGAAAUUUUAACUGUUGGGUGUUUGUCGGGAAUUUGGCUGACGGCAAGUCUUUAUGGGCUAUGUAUGUUAGGCUACACACGUAUUACAAAGAUGGAAACAAGAAGUAGUUAGAUGUAAAUUUUAACGAAUCUUUAAAAACUAUCGUAGUUCGAAUUAUUUUCUGGAAGUCGAAAAUAUGAAGUAGAAAUUGUUAGUAAUCAUAAAAUAGUAAGUUAUGGUGAAUAACACUACAAAUUUUGCACACACCGCCCAUCACGCC